CUCAGAUCAGAAGGUGAUUGUGGCUUUGGGUAGAUAUUAAUCAGCCACAACACUGCCUGGUCAGAAAGAG
rnacentral:pre_miRNA from 1 species